CAGUAGCCGCGGUAAUACGAAGGGGGCUAGCGUUGUUCGGAAUUACUGGGCGUAAAGGGCGCGUAGGCGGCCAUUCAAGUUAGAUGUGAAAGCCCUGGGCUCAACCUAGGAAUUGCAUUUGAUACUGUUUGGCUUGAGUUCGGGAGAGGUGAGUGGAAUUCCCAGUGUAGAGGUGAAAUUCGUAGAUAUUGGGAAGAACACCAGUGGCGAAGGCGGCUCACUGGACCGACACUGACGCUGAGGCGCGAAAGCGUGGGGAGCAAACAGGAUUAGAUACCCGUGUAGUCCCUGUCUCUUAUAU
rnacentral:rRNA from 1 species